UACGAAGGGGGCUAGCGUUGUUCGGAAUUACUGGGCGUAAAGAGCUCGUAGGCGGUCUGUUGCGUCCGCUGUGAAAACCCGGGGCUUAACCCCUGGCUUGCAGUGGAUACGGACAGACUAGAGGUAGGUAGGGGAGAAUGGAAUUCCCGGUGUAGCGGUGAAAUGCGCAGAUAUCGGGAGGAACACCGGUGGCGAAGGCGGCACUCUGGGACGGUACUGACGCUGAGACGCGAAAGCGUGGGGAGCGAACAGG
rnacentral:rRNA from 1 species